rnacentral:rRNA from 1 species
ACGAACGCUGGCGGCGUGCUUAACACAUGCAAGUCGCACGGAAAGGCCCUGCUUUUGUGGGGUGCUCGCGUGGCGAACGGGUGAGUAACACGUGAGUAACCUGCCCUUGACUUUGGGAUAACUUCAGGAAACUGGGGCUAAUACCGGAUAGGAGCUCCUGCUGCAUGGUGGGGGUUGGAACGUUUCGGCGGUUGGGGAUGGACUCGCGGCUUAUCAGCUUGUUGGUGGGGUAGUGGCUUACCAAGGCUUUGACGGGUAGCCGGCCUGAGAGGGUGACCGGCCACAUUGGGACUGAGAUACGGCCCAGACUCCUACUGGAGGCAGCAGUGGGGAAUAUUGCACAAUGGGCGGAAGCCUGAUGCAGCAACGCCGCGUGCGGGAUGACGGCCUUCGGGUUGUAAACCGCUUUCGCCUGUGACGAAGCGUGAGUGACGGUAAUGGGUAAAGAAGCACCGGCUAACUACGUG